rnacentral:rRNA from 1 species
AGCUCGAUGAGUAGGGCGGGACACGUGGUAUCCUGUCUGAAUAUGGGGGGCCCAUCCUCCAAGGCUAAAUACUCCUGACUGACCGAUAGUGAACCAGUACCGUGAGGGAAAGGCGAAAAGAACCCCGGCGAGGGGAGUGAAAAAGAACCUGAAACCGUGUACGUACAAGCAGUGGGAGCACGCUUAGGCGUGUGACUGCGUACCUUUUGUAUAAUGGGUCAGCGACUUAUAUUCUGUAGCAAGGUUAACCGAAUAGGGGAGCCGAAGGGAAACCGAGUCUUAACUGGGCGUUAAGUUGCAGGGUAUAGACCCGAAACCCGGUGAUCUAGCCAUGGGCAGGUUGAAGGUUGGGUAACACUAACUGGAGGACCGAACCGACUAAUGUUGAAAAAUUAGCGGAUGACUUGUGGCUGGGGGUGAAAGGCCAAUCAAACCGGGAGAUAGCUGGUUCUCCCCGAAAGCUAUUUAGGUAGCGCCUCGUGAAUUCAUCUCCGGGGGUAGAGCACUGUUUCGGCAAGGGGGUCAUCCCGACUUACCAACCCGAUGCAAACUGCGAAUACCGGAGAAUGUUAUCACGGGAGACACACGGCGGGUGCUAACGUCCGUCGUGAAGAGGGAAACAACCCAGACCGCCAGCUAAGGUCCCAAAGUCAUGGUUAAGUGGGAAACGAUGUGGGAAGGCCCAGACAGCCAGGAUGUUGGCUUAGAAGCAGCCAUCAUUUAAAGAAAGCGUAAUAGCUCACUGGUCGAGUCGGCCUGCGCGGAAGAUGUAACGGGGCUAAACCAUGCACCGAAGCUGCGGCAGCGACGCUUAUGCGUUGUUGGGUAGGGGAGCGUUCUGUAAGCCUGCGAAGGUGUGCUGUGAGGCAUGCUGGAGGUAUCAGAAGUGCGAAUGCUGACAUAAGUAACGAUAAAGCGGGUGAAAAGCCCGCUCGCCGGAAGACCAAGGGUUCCUGUCCAACGUUAAUCGGGGCAGGGUGAGUCGACCCCUAAGGCGAGGCCGAAAGGCGUAGUCGAUGGGAAACAGGUUAAUAUUCCUGUACUUGGUGUUACUGCGAAGGGGGGACGGAGAAGGCUAUGUUGGCCGGGCGACGGUUGUCCCGGUUUAAGCGUGUAGGCUGGUUUUCCAGGCAAAUCCGGAAAAUCAAGGCUGAGGCGUGAUGACGAGGCACUACGGUGCUGAAGCAACAAAUGCCCUGCUUCCAGGAAAAGCCUCUAAGCAUCAGGUAACAUCAAAUCGUACCCCAAACCGACACAGGUGGUCAGGUAGAGAAUACCAAGGCGCUUGAGAGAACUCGGGUGAAGGAACUAGGCAAAAUGGUGCCGUAACUUCGGGAGAAGGCACGCUGAUAUGUAGGUGAAGUCCCUUGCGGAUGGAGCUGAAAUCAGUCGAAGAUACCAGCUGGCUGCAACUGUUUAUUAAAAACACAGCACUGUGCAAACACGAAAGUGGACGUAUACGGUGUGACGCCUGCCCGGUGCCGGAAGGUUAAUUGAUGGGGUCAGCGCAAGCGAAGCUCUUGAUCGAAGCCCCGGUAAACGGCGGCCGUAACUAUAACGGUCCUAAGGUAGCGAAAUUCCUUGUCGGGUAAGUUCCGACCUGCACGAAUGGCGUAAUGAUGGCCAGGCUGUCUCCACCCGAGACUCAGUGAAAUUGAACUCGCUGUGAAGAUGCAGUGUACCCGCGGCAAGACGGAAAGACCCCGUGAACCUUUACUAUAGCUUGACACUGAACAUUGAGCCUUGAUGUGUAGGAUAGGUGGGAGGCUUUGAAGUG